rnacentral:rRNA from 1 species
AUACGGAGGGUGCGAGCGUUAAUCGGAAUUACUGGGCGUAAAGCGUGCGUAGGCGGUUUGCUAAGUCAGAUGUGAAAGCCCCGGGCUUAACCUGGGAACUGCAUUUGAUACUGGCAGACUAGAGUAUGAUAGAGGGGGGUAGAAUUCCUGGUGUAGCGGUGAAAUGCGCAGAUAUCAGGAGGAAUACCAGUGGCGAAGGCGGCCCCCUGGAUCAAUACUGACGCUGAGGUACGAAAGCGUGGGGAGCGAACAGGAUUAGAAACCCUAGUAGUCC